GAACAAAGUUGUGAACUGAAGAUGAUUGAAUAAAUAUGUUGCUGGGACCACCCAGAGUUGUUCCUGCUAGAUUUCAGUGGCUGAGGCAAGUGUGCACAAAAACCGUGGCAAAACCCAACCAUGAAGGAAACAGCCACAGGAUAUGACUACCUCCUGGUUUGCUUCAGAAGAAGGUGCCUUCGGUGAGCCAAAAGGAGCCUCUUGCAUGAGCAGAAAUCACCUUUUACCAGAUGAAGUGCAGCCAUUAAUUGGCCAGAUCCAUGGGCCCCGGACCAAUCUCAAUCUCUCUCUUUCAGUCUCAGCUGAAGAGGACAAACAAAGCAAACCAAGACACCUGGGUGUUGUGAAACACCCUAAACAGCAUUUAGAGGUGAGCUCAUAGAAAAGUUCCAUAGAAAUCAUGCAGCAAUGCAGUCGGUUGUCGAUUAAAGUGGUAAUAAAAAUAUGUCGUAAGGCAUAGUCAGCAUGUUUUCAAGCUGCUAACCUCAAGAAAACGCAAUAUAAACUCCAUCUAAUCAAUAAAGCUGCAGCCUCUGAAUACAUCAUUAUGUAGAUUGCUCUCUGUUCUUUCCAGAGAAUCUAAAAGCUGGCAGCAUACUAGUGUGUCUGGGAAAGAAAGAGCAAUUUUUUGAUACAUGGUAUGCAAAGCUCUUUGGGUACUACUUUCCGAAGGACCCACAUAUGUCAAACCUUUUUAUGCUCAAUUUCUCUCUGUUUGCCAGGGUAGGUCCCAAUUUUCUCAGAAUACUUCCCUAUUUUGUUUUUGUGGAAUAUGCUAGCACAGCCUUUUAAAAUUUUUGUUAAUGUGCACAUACAGCUGAGUUCCGGUUCUGCCUUCUCUUUUCGGUCUCUGGAUGCUAAAUCUCUCAGGAUGGGAGCAGAACAUACAUAUCAGCACAUACAGAAGAAGGCAAGGAUUGCAUUUAGAUGUCACUCUGAACCACAAUUAAAGAGGGACGUAUAUGACUCUUGCUUUUUGUUUAGACUCAUGCAUGCCAACCUCCCACAGAAUCCUGGUUAGAAACUUAUUCCAGUUUGCUGUGACUCACAACUGCAGAUAAUCAGAGUUAGAAUUUUGGUUUUCAGGGAAGAAACUGAAUGGCCAGUCUAGCUGUGAUGUUUCCCUUCCAGGGUCUAGGUUUCCUUGAUGUGACUUCUGUAUUCUUACAAUCAAAUGGCAGCUACAGGAAACUGUAUUUCCAAAUGCCACAGGGGGCUGAUUCAGAUUGGGACCAUGGGGCAAGUCGGAGGGGAGAGUCACUUUUGCCUCCUGCUCUGCACUGUUUUCUCAGCCCCACAGUCCUGGGGUAAUUUGCCCUAUGGAGGAGUGGGUUGACAUGAAGUUUGUGUUUUUAGUUAGGGGAUUCCUCCCCUGGUUAAUCAUCAAUAUUUUGGUUUAUCAGUAUUCUUGUUCACAAUCCAGGGGAGGGACAGCUACUUCUGGUAAAUCUUCUCCCCUGUAGUUAUACCUAUGGGUAACUACAGCUAGCUUCUAACUGGGAUUCCAGGCAAGAGACAGAAGAAGGUAAGUGGCAUGUGUCAAGCAACAAGCUAGGUUUGUACACAUCCUUACUUAAUGCCAAAUCGCAGUGACACUUGAAAUUCUGAAUGAAGUACAUAUAACAGUGCACUCCUUCCUUCCUUCCUUCCUUCCUUCCUUCCUUCCUUCCUUCCUUCCUUCCUUCCUUCCUUCCUUCCUUCCUUCCUUCCUUCCUUCCUUCCUUCCUUCCUUCCUUCCUUCCUUCCUUCCUUCCUUCCUUCCUUCCUUCCUUCCUUCCUUCCUUCCACCAAUCCAAAAUGCAAACAGUGCUGAAUGCAUUUGACUUGAAGCUGUUUUCAUAAAGACAACGGAGUGUUACAAAUACACAAAAGUGACCCUGUUUUUAAUCUGUGAAAUACUGGAGGGUAGGAAACUGGCUUAAAAAGAAACAGAAUAAUAUGCAUCUAAAUAAACACAAUUUAUUAACUAAUGUUAUAAUGAGGAGGUUUCUUUCUGGCCUUUAUAUUAUAUAUAUAUAUUCUUGCAUUGAAUAGGAUUGCUUUGUGUGCUGAAAGAAAAUUAAAGAAUUUCUCUCUCUCUCUUUUGUAGUUCCAGAUGUUUCACAGGAAUUAUUGGGGGUGGGGGUGGAAUCUGAACACUCAAAGGAGCCAGGGGGAAAAGAUGCUGAUGUCCUUUUUGGUGGGUGGCAGAAAUGCAACAAGAUUGAAGUUAGAGAAAGUAUAGUGCAGUGGUAGCCAUGUCAGGGGGACUCUUUCAGAUUCUUUUUAGUAACUGCGAUGACCAUUCUCUUCUUUUUUGCAAAUAAACAUGUCAUGUGCAGAACACUGUUCAUUCAUUGCUUCCUUUCCACAGAUAUAUAUAUAUGCUUGCUGGUUUAUGGGUUAUCUCUCCACUAUCUCCUGUAUCCUCUGCUGUCUCUGAACUGUACCAUAGAUUCAUUUCUUAUUUGCCUAUGCACUGUCUGUCAUAUACAUUUUUGUACACAUACAGUGUAUAUCCUUCUGAGGGUUUUAGAUCCAUGCCUUUUCCUAUGUUUUCAUACAUAAUGUGUCUGAUUCAGCUUGCUUGUGUAUUGUAUUAUGCAACUGUGCCUUCCAAUAAAUUGCUUAAUUCAUAUCAAUAA